rnacentral:rRNA from 1 species
UGGGGAAUAUUGCGCAAUGGAGGCAACUCUGACGCAGCCAUGCCGCGUGUGUGAAGAAGGCCCUCGGGUUGUAAAGCACUUUCAAUUGGGAGAAAAAGCUUGUCGUUAAUAGCGGCAAGCCUUGAUGUUACCUUUUAGAAGAAGCACCGGCUAACUCCGUGCCAGCAGCCGCGGUAAUACGGAGGGUGCGAGCGUUAAUCGGAAUUACUGGGCGUAAAGCGCGCGUAGGCGGUUGCUUAAGUCGGAUGUGAAAGCCCCGGGCUCAACCUGGGAACUGCAUUCGAUACUGGGCGACUAGAGUACGAGAGAGGGAGGUAGAAUUCCACGUGUAGCGGUGAAAUGCGUAGAUAUGUGGAGGAAUACCGGUGGCGAAGGCGGCCUCCUGGCUCGAUACUGACGCUGAGGUGCGAAAAGCGUGGGGAGCAAAACAGGAUUAGAUACCCUGGUAGUCCACGCCGUAAACGAUGUCUACUAGCCGUUGGGGUACUUGAGACCUUAGUGGCGCAGCUAACGCACUAAGUAGACCGCCUGGGAGUACGGCCGC